UACGGCUCAGUAACACGUAGAUAAUCUGCCCUUAGGUCGAGAAUAACCACGGGAAACUGUGGCUAAUACUCGAUAGAAGAUUUCGUCUGGAAUGACAUUUCUUUGAAAUUCGAGCCUAAGGAUGAGUCUGCGGCUGAUUAGCUUGUUGGCGGGGUAAAUGCCCACCAAGGCGAUGAUCAGUAAGGGCCCUUAGCGGGGUCGCCCUGAGAUGGAAUCUGAGACACUAUUCCAAGCCCUACGGGGUGCAGCAGGGGUGAAUCUUUUACAAUGCACGAAAGUGUGAUAGAGCGAGCCAAAGUGCUUAACUUUUUGUUAAGCUUUUGCCUGUUGUAAAUAUACAGGCGAAUAAGGACUGGGCAAGACCGGUGCCAGCCGCCGCGGUAAUCCCGGCAGUUCAAGUUGCAACCAACAUUAUUGGGUCUAAAACAUCCGUAGCUUGUUUAACAAGUCUCUUGUGAAAUCUCAUGUCUCAAGUAUGAGGCGUGCAAGAGAUACUGUUAAGCUAGAGAUCGGUAGGUGUAAGAAGUACACGAGAGGUAGUGGUUAAAUACGUUAAUCUUUCGUGGACUCACAAUUAGCGAAGGCAUCUUACAAGAGCGAGUCUGACAAUGAGGGAUGAAGGCUAGGGGCGCAAAACGGAUUAGAUACCCGUGUAGUCCUAGCAGUAAACACUGCUCACUAAACAUUGGGGC
rnacentral:rRNA from 1 species